AUUGAACGCUGGCGGCAGGCCUAACACAUGCAAGUCGAGCGGAUGAAGGGAGCUUUCUCCUGUAUUCAGCGGCGGACGGGUGAGUAAUUCCUAGGAAUCUGCCUGGUAGUUGGGGAUAACGUCCGUAAACGGGCGCUAAUACCGCAUACGUCCUGAUGGUGAAAGUGGGGGAUCUUCGGACCUCACGCUAUCAGAUGAGCCUAGGUCGGAUUAGCUAGUUGGUGGGGUAAAGGCCUACCAAGGCGACGAUCCGUAACUGGUCUGAGAGGAUGAUCAGUCACACUGGAACUGAGACACGGUCCAGACUCCUACGGGAGGCGGCAGUGGGGAAUAUUGGACAAUGGGCGAAAGCCUGAUGCAGCCAUGCCGCGUGUGUGAAGAAGGUCUUCGGAUUGUAAAGCACUUUAAGUUGGGAGGAAGAGCAGUAAGUUAAUACCUUGCUGUUUUGACGUUACCAACAGAAUAAGCACCGGCUAACUUCGUG
rnacentral:rRNA from 1 species